AACAACUCAAAGCAAAUAGUGCAAAGCCUUGCUCAGGGCCCACACGGAAUGAAUUGCUGAUUUACUAUAGCAAUUUGGACUUAUGGCAGGACUUACCUCUGAGGGUAGGUAUUCGCAUAUGCAGAAGGUGAGCACCCUUGUAGGAAGAAGUCUGAGGCACACUUUCUUCAAAGUUGUCACUUGAGGGUUUAGCAGAUACUUAGUAAAGUGAACCUUCUGAAUCUUCAAGUCAGUAAUUGUAUUUGAUCAGCUGUGUCUGGGUCCUAUAGCUUCAUGGUUUUUAAAAAUCAUGAUAAUAUAAUUCUAUGAAAAUGUAUGUAACUAAGUCAUAGCAAGGUAAAGAUUACUUAUAAUUAAUUUUUAUUUCCCUUGAUAGGAAUAUUAGUAAAGGGGGGAUGUUGUUUUGCAAAAUAGAUAACUGGCUCUUGAAACUAUUCCUCUGGGCCAUAGAUCUACUGAAUACAGUUCAAUUAUCAACUCUACCUUCCUCUACUGCCCUCCCUCCACUGCCAUAGGUAGAAAAUCCUAAGGCACAGCAGAAAUACUGAGCAGACAGACAAGCAUGGUUUCUAAUCCAGAAGUUCUUGUGUGGGUUCACAAACCAUCUUGGGAGCAGCGACCUCAAUUUCCAGGAUUAAACGUAUUGAAAUUGCAUCUGAAUUUCCAACUUAAAUAAAGAUGGACGUUUUAAAAAGACAACUCAGAACAUCUAAUUUAACAACAUUCGUGUGAAUAACGCCUUCCCCUACACCUCUAUCUUCUUUCACUUUUAUUUCUUUAUCCAAUGCAUAUGUGACAGGCAGCAUCCAAACCCCACACUCCCGGAACAGUGAGAGCAAAGGUCAGAACCAACACUGUAUUGGAGAGAGACUUCCUGCCACUGGGAAACAAAGGUAUUUCAGCUCCCAGCAGUAAAGCUUUUUGUUACUUCUUACACUCCAAGCCAGGAUGUAAGUUUGCCCCAGCGAUCAGGCAGACCUCCAUUACCAUGUGAGUCUCAGUAUGAGAGAUAGAAAGUAAGCAAGGAGCAGUAAGAUACACCCAGGGCAGGCUUCCCUUUCUGUGUGGCCGGCCAUCUUUAAGCAGAAAAGACAGUUGUGUCCACAGUGAGAGCCAGCAUCCCCUCUGAGUCACCAUUACUGCUCUUUAUUGCUGAAGAAAUGGCUGAGUCUUACCAAGGACUUUAAACUUUGUGGGCACUGGGUUGUCUUCCUAUCUUCCUUACUUUCAUAUGUAUUGGUAUAAAUAAACUCAUAUUAACCGGCAUAUCUUAACUACCUGUUUAUUCUUUGUGGUCUAGAGAUUCCUGACUUACAAUGGAAUGAAGUGAAAGCCAUCCCUUCUUAAUUUCUGUUUUUUUUUCCCCCUUUCUUGUUUUGUUUUGUGUGGUUGGUUAACUGCGGAUAGAAGGGGCUAGCUUAGUGCUCAUUAUAAAGAACAGGCCGGUCUCAAAGACAGGAUAAUCUUCCUGCCUCCGCCUCCCAAUUGUGGAAGGGAAUUACAGUUCUUUGCUACAGUUGUUUAUGGUCCCCAUAAACAACUUGAAAGUAAAGGAAGAAAAAGAAGUAACAGUGAAAUGUGAUCUCUUAGCCAUGAAUUCCUGUCCAAUUGGCUUUGUGGUGAACCAUGCUAUCUGCCCCUAAGUAUUAAAUACCAAAUCAAUAGUUAACAAAAAUUGCUAGACUCAUAAAGAUGAAUUAGAGGCACAGAGCACAGAUAUCAUGAACACAGACAAUAACUACAUGAAAGAAGUUGUUGGACUAAAACGCAGGAGGCAGAUGCUAUCUCUUCUGUAUGGAUAUGUGUGAAUUCAAGGUCAUUACAGUCUACAAAGUGAGUUCCAGGCUACAAAGUUCGCUCCUAUCUCAAAACAAGAAAGAAAGAAAGAAAGAAAGAAAGAAAGAAAGAAAGAAAGAAAGAAAGAAAGAAAGAAAGAAAGGAAGG
rnacentral:lncRNA from 1 species